rnacentral:lncRNA from 10 species
UAACUUCUCUGAAGUCAAGUUGAGCGUCCACAUCUAAAGCCCCAGGAUGAGCCUCCUGGUGGAGGAGAGUGCUCCUGGUGGCCUGGACAUACUUCUGGAAGACUGACUCUUCCAGACUGAUGAAACCAAAGGACUGGACAGUGUUGAAUCCUUGGGGGGAAGAAAAACCAACACUUUUUUUUUAAGCUGACAGCACAUUCCAUCCACUCGGCAAUGUAGAACUAAUGAAGAUAUAAGUGAGUGAUGUGUGCCAGUACAAGGCUUGUCUUUGACAAGACUGG